AGGUUUUGAGCACGUUUGGAUUAACUGCCAAAAGAAAUCCUUCAAAAGGAAAGCUCCAUUCCGCUGUCUGGCUUUCAAGGAAGAAGGGCUGAACCAUGCCAAGUUAUUGUGACGUUUGGGACAAACCAAAGAAUUGAGCACACUGGUAAGUCAUUUUGAAAACAGAGACCUAGCCAAGGAUAUGUUCACUUAGUAAGAGGUCACAUCUUCUGCAAAAUAACAAAGCAAUCAA